rnacentral:lncRNA from 1 species
UUUUAUUUAUAUGUUUGUUUGAUAGAUAUUUUUGCAAGAAACAUGACUUGUUGAACAUUGAUAUGGAGGUUUUCAUCCUUUAUUCUUAUCAGCUUCAGAAACACAAUAAUCAAUUGAAGUUUUUGAAUGAACAUGCAUAUUUCAAAUCAAUGGAAUUGUGGGCCAGAGAUGGCAAAUAAGAUCUUUUUGUUAGGAAAGAACAAAAUUAUCAAUGAGAUAUUCUUCAAAACUUAAAAUUUGAUCUUUUUCCUUUUCUAAAAGAUAGUUGAUUUUUUGUCUAUUAUUUUAGGCCAUUAUAUCAUGAUUCUUAUUUCAAAACCAAUGUGAUUGUUCUUAAUUUGACAAAGAACAAAUUGUAAGACCAAUUUUUCCUACCUAGUUAACCUACAUAUAAAAAGGGGGAAAUAUACUGAAAGUCAAAGUUUAACAGACAAUCAUGGCCAAAGAAAAAAAACUUUCUGCAGCCAAACCCUUUUUUAGGUUGUGAAAGAAUUCUGUUCUAAUGCAUUUAUAUUUAUAUGUGUAUUUAAAUUUGCAUCUUUGAGAAAGAUGAAUGUGAUUACAGUAUUUGAAAAAUAAAUGAAAUAUAUUUUGUUUAUAUGCAAGGGUAUAUCUAUGUAUUUGUAUGUUUGAAUAUAUGUGUGGUCAACUACCAAAAGUCAUAUAUGUUAAAGUUUUAAGGUUACUUUUUACUAGAUUCAGUUUUAAGGUGAAGGAAUUUGCAGUGCAAACAUGUUUUUAUUAUAUAUUUUUUU